rnacentral:lncRNA from 1 species
UGAUUUUCUUUAAUGCCCACUUUAAAAUAUCUGCUGCCAGAUCAUCGUUACUAGAGAAUGGUUUCUUUUUACUUUGUGGGUGGUAUGUGUAUCUUGCCUCUGCAUAGAGAAGAUUGAGCUACCUGGCUCCUUCUGUUAGAAGAACAACUUCCAGCAAGGCCCAGGGCCUACCAGGCAUGUUUCGUUGAGAAGUGUGGAGUCUAUGGCAUUUUCUGAGAAUCACUAUUAAAAUCCCCUCUGGCUGCUGCAGAUCGGGGUUUAGUAUCUCAUAUUUUGACAUUCACAGGGGAAAGCAAGCUUGGCCCCAAAGCUUCUCAGUUGACUCGUUGAGCACAGGAAACAGAAUUACUCUUGUUGUGAGGAAACAUGAAAAAAAGAAAAAACAAGGGACCCCCCCACCCAGGAGUUGAGGAUUUUUUUGAGACUCACCUCCCCAGGAGAACAGAAGUUAGCCACUGAAAGCAAAUAAUGAGUUACAAAAGGGCAAUGAUUGAAACCAUUUCAUCAAGGAACAGCCAGGGGAUGAGCUCGUGCACACACACACACACACACAUACACACACACAUAAACACACAAAAAACCACACACACAGAGUUUAGAUCUGAAAUGUGCCCCAAAGACUCAUUUGUUAAAAGUUUGGUCCCUGAUCCUAUUGGGAGAUGAUGAAAACAUUAAGGAAUGGGGCCUAGCAAAAGAAGUUUAGGUCAUUGAAGGUGUGAAAGUAUGACCUUGAAAGGGAUAUUGGGACCCUGGUCCCUUUUUCUUGCUCUUUUUCCCCCUCUACCAGGAGGUAAAUAGACCUCCUCCAUCAUGUACUGCACUCCUGCCAUGAGGUUUUGUGCUGUCAUAGGCUCAGAGCAUCAGGGCCAAUUGACCAUAGUCUGAAACCUCUGAAACCAUGAGUCAAGAUAAACCUUUCAUCCCUUUAAGUUGAUUAUUUCAGGUAUUUUGUCACAGUAAUGAGAAGCUAACUAAUAUACACGUAUUUAAUAGAAAUGAGAAGUGAUGAUAGGGGAUUGCAUUCAAUAAUUCAAUUCAAUAAACACUUUUGGAAACACCUUCUAUAUGCUAGAGACUGUGCAUCUGGCUCAGGGAAUAGGGAAAAAUAAAUGCAACUCUCUCUUCCUCCAUGAAGUAAAUUAAAAGUGGGCUGAAAGGAAUCACAAAGAAUUAGGUGGAAAAAAAUGCAGAUGGUGCAAACAUAUUGUAGAAGAGAAGGUGUGAAAAAGAGAGUCAAACCGAGGUAGGAGCUAGAGAUGAAUUGCAUAUAAUGAAGACCUCAGAGAACAACAGAAGCUAGAAGCGUGAUUCUUAAUAGUGAGAUGGCUGGGUCAGGUGGCAAGUUUCUGACCCCCACCCUGAUAUAUUUUACACAUUUUAACAAAGUCAGAUGUCUCUGUUCACAUAGCCAUGCAUGCAUAACGUCUUGCUGCAACUCUAAAUGGAACAGGAUGUGGAAGGACACACAUACACAAAGGAGUGGCCUAUUUGAGGUUCAAAAUCUCAAGUUCUGUCCCUUGGGGAAAAAGAAAUCAAGAACAUCCUCAUGUCCACUAGCUAUUCUGUGUUCUUGGGCACGAACCUCAUAUUGACAUUGCCAGUAAUUAGAGUUAGCUUGACAUGGAAAUUGUGUGUAUUUAUCAAGGACUGAACCGAAUAGAAUUUACUCUUUAGUACAUAGGCACGGUAGGUCACCCAUCUCCAUAAAACCCUGGUUUGCUUUGUGUGUAGAUUGUAGAGAUUUAAUUCUUAAUUGUGAGUUUCUUUACUUUGCAAGUUCCUUUUCUUAAUGUGAGGACCUUUUGCAUGUAGUUUCCAUAGACUAUUUUUAUCACAUAUUUACAUCCUUAGGAGUUACUUGUUAAAGAGGCAAUUAAAGUAAAUAGCGUAAUCAUGUGUUUAUAAGGCUUAAUUAUAGACCCUCAUAUAUAAU